AUGGCCCCGGCGUCAAGGCCGCUCGCGCCUCCUCUGUCCCGUCGCCAGGAUCGCGCGUUCAAAGUCCCUGUCUCCAGCGCCGCCGCACCUUGGCAAGACUUGGUGGCUUCGUCCUCCUCUGAACCCCGCCGUCCUCGUCUUCUUGCGCGACCAGCCGCCUCGACAGCGCCCGAAGCAUGGACUCCCGCUGCCGAUGCCGCUGAGCUCCUCUACCACCAAAACGGACUCCCCACGUGCAGAUCUGACAACCCUCGCCUGCAUCCGCCUGUUCCCGGCCAUGCACCGUCGUCCUUCACGCCGGAUCUCGCGUCGCCGGCUGAUUUUUUCCCCUGCUGCUUUGCCCACGUGAGGUGA
rnacentral:rRNA from 1 species